UCAAGAUAAAUUAAAAUAUUGAUAUACUCAAAAUGUAACGGUAUUCUUUUACAAGAGAAAGAAUAAUUUCAUACAGAUCCACAGUACAUAACUCUUUUACAACACGAAUAAUAAAGUUUUAAAAAAAGCUAGCUAAUAUGAGACUAGAUAGUGAUGGUAAUCAUUAGCGGACUGUGAAGAGAAGUGAAAACCCAGAAGUGCUCCAAUGCUUUCCUAAUACCAGGUUCCGACGGCGAGUUGAGAGACAUUAGUGGAUUUUAUUUGUACCAAAUGCGUGAAAGAAAUUGUUGUUUUCGUGGAUAUCAAGAAGAAGGGUACAGUAAAUAAGAUUUUAUAGCACUCCAUCGAUUAUCUCACCCGGUGACACCACCUCUUGAUCCAGCAAGACGACAAUGUUACCCUCCUGAUCUUGCAGGACUACCAACCUGUAUAUACAAAAAUGACAUCUACACCAUAAGGUUAGUACAUUAACUAGUUAAGACUUGUCAAUCACGUUUAAACCGAACAACAUUUCCUUUGGCAGGGUAAGAUUCUGCUAGAAACAACAAUCCGUUUCUUUAAAAUCUUAAGAUUAUUAAUGCAAUGUAUAUACUAAAAGACUGCAAACCGUUCAAAACAUAAGCCUUAUUUAGAUGUUCUUAGUCUGAAAUGCAACACUAUAAGAAAAUACUAUCAAUAUCAUAAGCUGCAUUUCUUCUUUGUAUUUGAUAACUAGGCGUUUCCAAGUCUGAAGUUUUGUAAAUUCUUAAGUUUGUAACUGCCAAAAAAUUAAAUUGUCAUAUUUCUCGGCUCAAGGAAAAAGCACAAGCUAAACCAGUUCAACAUCACACUUGUUCCAUAACAACAAAUAGUCCUAGAGUACUCUAAAUAAAAUUUCAGAAGUCCUACGGAUUUUAACAAGAAUUUUGUAAACACUCCAUCCUUCACUAUAUAAUAUAUCCAAUUGAAUUUGUUUUGAGAAAAAGAGUGAAAUAUUAUACAUACCUCAUGGUUAUUACACUUGUUUGUUUCUACAUUGAUGCCCAAGUGCCUAAAAGGGCAAAAAUAAAUUCUUGAUAAUUCUUUUACAAGAAUUUUUAACAGAUAACAAAAGAGAAAAGUACAAAGCAACAAAAGAAUUAAAAAAAUCUGUAGACUUUUUAAACUUCUUAAAGGAUCUUCAUCCCAAUUUUGUAAUGUUGCUUUGCUGUUACAGUUCACGAACUAUGGCUCCUCCCAAAAUUACCUCUUCAAAAUCUUUAAAUUUUCACUCACUAUAUAUAAAAAAAAAAUAGGGCAGAAUAUUAAAUUGUUGAAUAAUUCGCAAAAUUAAAACCAAAAAUUCAUGUCAAGUAGGUAUGAGAAAAUUAGCAAACCGUAAAAUAUAGAGAUACGAAUAGAAAAGCUAUUGGGUUCUCUCUCACUCUUCUUCUUUGUCGUUCUCGCAUUUUUUAGUCUAGCCAUGGUUGAAGAAAGAAUUGGGAAAGUGGGGAAGGGGAUGUGGGGGUGGGAUGUGCGGCUGAAGAUAUCAGAAUGCAGUUUAGGUUUUGGUGCUUUUGCUUUGGGCCAAUUGCAAUUGUUGUUUGUCAUUCCUU
rnacentral:lncRNA from 1 species